AGUCACAGUCUGUGGAGGUAUUUAAAAGAUAUAGAUGUGUCACUUAUGGACAUGGUUUCAUGGUGGACUUGCCAGUGCUGGGUUAACAGCUGGGCUUGGUGACAUUAGGGGUCUUUUCCAACCUAAACAAUUCUAUGGAUUUUGAUGUGUUCUUUGGGAUGAGACAGCAAGCAACACAUUGACAUUGAAGAGAGUUUGUUUAUUGAACCACCUGAAAGUAUCUGUCCCUUGUAUCCCCUUUGUGGUUAAGUCCCUUGUCCUCAGCCACGUGACUGCUUCACAGAUGGAGAAUGAGGAAUGGCUGUAAUCCUUGGUUUAGAAGGUUUUGCUGAGCUCACCCCUAUGGAGGAGGACUGGAGUUGCUGCCAGCCAUUAAAGGUUCCAGAUUUUCUGGAAUAGAAACGAAGGUGCUGUAUGCAGAAAAUGUCAUCAAACUUUGUCAGGAGGGAAAGAAUGACAUCAAGGCAGGAAGAUGUAGAAGUGUUUCAUGGAAAGCUGUUUAGACACUGGUCUCUUUGGAGUUGAGACUAUGGUAUACCCCCAGUGUAUUCAUACCUCACUAGGCUGAGAGCAGAACCCAUUCCCCAGCCCUCCCUUGACUUCUUCCCUCCCUGCUCCCCACACUGUGCUGGCACUCCACACUGGGACACAGAUCCUGGGACUGAUCCACCUGAGAAGCAAACUGAAGACCGAAAAAAGGCAUUUUUUCUUCUCUUGAAGAAAGAACAAUUCCCAGAGGGAGCUGCUCACCUCCUGGCACUGCUGGCACAGUAGAGAUGGGAAUCCCCCAAAAGUCACAUGCAUAGCCAGCUGGCACGUGAAGUGCAGUCACUUUCCACUGGAGAGGAAACGACAGCAGGAGCAACCUG
rnacentral:lncRNA from 1 species